CCUACGGGAGGCAGCAGUAGGGAAUAUUGCUCAAUGGGGGAAACCCUGAAGCAGCAACGCCGCGUGGGGGAUGAAGGUCUUAGGAUUGUAAACCUCUUUUGUUAGAGAAGAAUAUGACGGUAAGUAACGAAUAAGCACCGGCUAACUCCGUGCCAGCAGCCGAGGUAAUACGGCGGGUGCAAGCGUUACUCGGAAUCACGGGGCGUAAAGAGUGCGUAGGCGGGGUAAUAAGUCAGAUGUGAAAUCCUGUGGCUUAACUAUAGAACUUCAUUUGAAACUGUUACUCUGGAGUGUGGGAGAGGUAGGUGGAAUUCGUGGUGUAGGGGUGAAAUGCGUAGAGAUCAAGAGGAAUACUCAUUGCGAAGGCGACUUGCUGGAACAUUACUGACGCUGAUGCACGAAAGCGUGGGGAGCAAACAGGAUUAGAUACCCUUGUAGUC
rnacentral:rRNA from 1 species